UCUGGAUACAUGCUGUAGGUAGAUUGUCUCCUGCCCUGCCUCUGGGAUGCACCUGGGGCCUCUGCUGUAGGUGGUUUGUCUCUAACCUGAUUUCCUGCAUGGAUUCUGGACAUCUGGCGAAAAUAAAUGCUGCCAUUUUCCAGGACUGCUAGUGUGAAGCAAGAAACAAGUCAAGAAAGUCCAUGCUGAAAGGCUACUUUGUAUGGGAAGCCUGGGGUUUGUCCCCCUUACUGCCUUGUCAGCACAGCAUCCAAGCAAAGCCCUGAAGUUGUUGGUCAGCAA